rnacentral:rRNA from 1 species
UACGGCUCAGUAACACGUGGCUAAUCUGCCCUUGGGACGAGAACAACCCCGGGAAACUGGGGCUAACUCUCGAUAGGUGAAGAACUCUGGAAUGAGUCUUCACUUAAAUAGAUUCACGUUAUGCUCGUGAAUCCGCCCAAGGAUGAGGCCGCGACCGAUCAGGUUGUUGGUGA